CAUCAGGACAGAGUUACAGCAUCACUAACAUCAGCUCUGAGGACAGAGGAGAAUAUUACUGUGAGGCCCAGAAUGGAAGAGGAUCUAUGAACUCUACAGCUCUGAUGAUCAUUGUAGCAGGGAAACAAACAUCAGUUGUGACUGCAGCUGUAGGAAUCAUAGUGGUUGUUCUGGGUGUCAUACUGGCUUCAUGUCUCUCUGGACUCAUGUGGUUCAGGAAGAAGGUCUCCAAAAACACAAGACACACAGCAGACAAUGGACAGG